rnacentral:rRNA from 1 species
UACGUAGGGGGCAAGCGUUGUCCGGAUUUAUUGGGCGUAAAGAGCGUGUAGGCGGCUAGGUAGGUCCGUUGUGAAAACUCGAGGCUCAACCUCGAGACGCCGAUGGAAACCAUCUAGCUAGAGUCCGGAAGAGGAGAGUGGAAUUCCUGGUGUAGCGGUGAAAUUCGUAGAUAUUGGGAGGAACACCGGUGGCGAAGGCGACCGCCUGGACGAUGACUGACGCUGAGGCGCGAGAGCGUGGGGAGCAAACAGG